ACGUACACUCCUACGGGAGGCAGCAGUGGGGAAUAUUGGACAAUGGGCGCAAGCCUGAUCCAGCCAUGCCGCGUGAGUGAUGAAGGCCCUAGGGUUGUAAAGCUCUUUCACCGGUGAAGAUAAUGACGGUAACCGGAGAAGAAGCCCCGGCUAACUUCGUGCCAGCAGCCGCGGUAAUACGAAGGGGGCUAGCGUUGUUCGGAUUUACUGGGCGUAAAGCGCACGUAGGCGGACUAUUAAGUCAGGGGUGAAAUCCCGGGGCUCAACCCCGGAACUGCCUUUGAUACUGGUAGUCUUGAGUUCGAGAGAGGUGAGUGGAAUUCCGAGUGUAGAGGUGAAAUUCGUAGAUAUUCGAAGGAACACCAGUGGCGAAGGCGGCUCACUGGCUCGAUACUGACGCUGAGGUGCGAAAGCGUGGGGAGCAAACAGGAUUAGAUACCCCAGUAGUCCCA
rnacentral:rRNA from 1 species